rnacentral:tRNA from 1 species
UGCCAACUAGCUCAGUUGGUUAGAGCGUCGUGCUAAUAUGCAUUAACGCGAAGGUCUUGGGCUCGAUCCCCACGUUGGCCA